CAUGCAGGCGGUCGUACGCGUUUUGUGUGACAGCGGGUGGCUUAACUACCCGAGUAUGCGAAAGACGGUAUGACUUGAGGGCUCGAGAGGGACACGGAAUUCCGGGUGGAGUGGUGAAAUGCGUAGAGAUCCGGAGGAACACCGAAGGCGAAGGCAGUGUCCUGGCGAGUGACUGACGCUGAGGUGCGAAAGCUAGGGGAGCGAACGGGAUUAGAUACCCCGGUAGUCCUAGCCGUAAACGAUGACCACCAGGUGUGGGAGGUAUCGACCCCUUCCGUGCCGGAGUUAACACACUAAGUGGUCCGCCUGGGGAGUACGGUCGCAAGAGUUAAA
rnacentral:rRNA from 1 species